rnacentral:rRNA from 1 species
AUUGAACGCUGGCGGCAGGCUUAACACAUGCAAGUCGAACGAGUGGCGGACGGGAGAGGAAUGCUUGGGAAUCUAGCUUAUGGAGGGGGAUAACGACGGGAAACUGGAGCCAAUAACGAGUACUAUAGGAUGAGCACAAGUGGGAUUAGGUAGGUGGUGAGGGAAAGGCUCACCAAGAAGACGAUCUCUAGCUGGUCUGAGAGGAGGACCGGCCACACUGGGACUGAGACACGGCCCAGACUCCUACGGGGGGCAGCAGUGGGGAAUAUUGCGCAAUGGGGGCAACCUGACGCGGCCAUGCCGCGUGAAUGAAGAAGUCCUUCGGGUUGUAAAGUUCUUUCGGUAGCGAGGCGUUAACUACAGAAGAAGCACCGGCUAACUCCGUGCCAGCCGCCGCGGUAAUUC